rnacentral:rRNA from 1 species
GACCUCGGAUCAGGUAGGAAUACCCGCUGAACUUAAGCA